AGGCAACAGGCAAAGUCUCGACACAAACUGUACUAGACUGCUUUGUCAACAAGCUGACCACUUUGCAAGGAAAGAAUCCCAGCAGUGGGUUGUUCUUAUCAACUGGGAUCACCAAGAGAUCAAAACUGCAUUUUCCACUCAUUUUGGAUGCCACAGCCCGAGAACCAUGCCCACAGCUCCCACAGAAAGAAUGUCAAGAGAUGGAGGACAAUUAAUCCUUACAAAAGCAGCCAUGAAGUCCCGGAAUGUGCAGGAUUGCCACGUGGCUCCGCUGAGACCAGUCACUAGCAGCAGCAGUUCCCAAACCAAAACAACAGAAUCAUUAAUCUGA
rnacentral:lncRNA from 1 species